rnacentral:rRNA from 1 species
CCUACGGGAGGCUGCAGUGAGGAAUAUUGGUCAAUGGGCGAGAGCCUGAACCAGCCAAGUCGCGUGAGGGAGUACUGCCCUAUGGGUUGUAAACCUCUUUUGUCGGGGAGCAAAAUCCGGACGUGUCCGGCUGUGAGAGUACCCGAAGAAAAAGCAUCGGCUAACUCCGUGCCAGCAGCCGCGGUAAUACGGAGGAUGCGAGCGUUAUCCGGAUUUAUUGGGGUUAAAGGGUGCGCAGGCGGAUUUUUAAGUCAGCGGUCAAAUCGUGGGGCUCAACCCCAUCCAGCCGUUGAAACUGGGGAUCUAGAGUGUGCGAGAGGUAUGCGGAAUGCGUGGUGUAGCGGUGAAAUGCAUAGAUAUCACGCAGAACCCCGAUUGCGAAGGCAGCAUACCGGUGCACAACUGACGCUCAGGCACGAAAGCGUGGGUAUCGAACAGGAUUAGAUACCCUGGUAGUC